GACGAACGCUGGCGGCGUGCCUAACACAUGCAAGUCGAGCGGGGAUACGCGGAAGGAUUACCGGAAGCGUAUCUUAGCGGCGGACGGGUGAGUAACGCGUGGGCAACCUACCUUCUACAGGGGGAUAACACCGGGAAACCGGUGCUAAUACCGCAUGAUGUAUAGGGGAGGCAUCUCUUCUAUACCAAAGGAGUAAAAUCCGGUGGAAGAUGGGCCCGCGUCCGAUUAGCUAGUAGGUAGGGUAACGGCCUACCUAGGCGACGAUCGGUAGCCGAACUGAGAGGUUGGACGGCCACAUUGGGACUGAGACACGGCCCAGACUCCUACGGGAGGCAGCAGUGGGGAAUAUUGCGCAAUGGGGGAAACCCUGACGCAGCGACGCCGCGUGAAGGAAGAAGGUCUUCGGAUCGUAAACUUCUUUGAUGAGGGACGAAUAGAUGACGGUACCUCAAAAACAAGCCACGGCUAACUACGUGCCAGCAGCCGCGGUAAUACGUAGGUGGCGAGCGUUGUCCGGAAUUACUGGGUGUAAAGGGCGCGUAGGCGGGGGUGCAAGUCAGAUGUGAAAUACCGUGGCUUAACCGCGGGGCUGCAUCUGAAACUGUGCUUCUUGAGUGCUGGAGAGGAAAGCGGAAUUCCUAGUGUAGCGGUGAAAUGCGUAGAUAUUAGGAGGAACACCAGUGGCGAAGGCGGCUUUCUGGACAGUAACUGACGCUGAGGCGCGAAAGCGUGGGGAGCAAACAGGAUUAGAUACCCUGGUAGUCCACGCCGUAAACGAUGGAUACUAGGUGUAGGAGGUAUCGACCCCUUCUGUGCCGGAGUUAACACAAUAAGUAUCCCACCUGGGGAGUACGGCCGCAAGGUUGAAACUCAAAGGAAUUGACGGGGGCCCGCACAAGCAGUGGAGUAUGUGGUUUAAUUCGAAGCAACGCGAAGAACCUUACCAGGGCUUGACAUACAGAUGAAUUACCUAGAAAUAGGUAAGCCCUUCGGGGCAUCUGUACAGGUGGUGCAUGGUUGUCGUCAGCUCGUGUCGUGAGAUGUUGGGUUAAGUCCCGCAACGAGCGCAACCCUUGUCGUUAGUUGGCAGCACGUAAAGGUGGCCACUCUAGCGAGACUGCCGGUGACAAAUCGGAGGAAGGUGGGGACGACGUCAAAUCAUCAUGCCCCUUAUGUCCUGGGCUACACACGUACUACAAUGGCUAUUACAGAGGGAAGCUAAGCCGUGAGGUGGAGCAAAUCCCCAAAGAUAGUCCCAGUUCGGAUUGUGGGCUGCAACUCGCCCACAUGAAGUCGGAAUUGCUAGUAAUGGCAGGUCAGCAUACUGCCGUGAAUACGUUCCCGGGCCUUGUACACACCGCCCGUCACACCAUGAGAGUCUGCAACACCCGAAGUCAGUAGUCUAACCGCGAAAGUGGGGGGCGCUGCCGAAGGUGGGGCAAAUGAUUGGGGUGA
rnacentral:rRNA from 1 species